CUACGAGCUGCAGCAGUGAGGAAUAUUGCACAAUGGGGGGAACCCUGAUGCAGCAACGCCGCGUGGAGGAUGACGCAUUUCGGUGUGUAAACUCCUUUUAUAUGUCAAGAAAAUGACGGUAGCAUAUGAAUAAGCACCGGCUAACUCCGUGCCAGCAGCCGCGGUGAAUACGGAGGGUGCAAGCGUUACUCGGAAUCACUGGGCGUAAAGGACGCGUAGGCGGGCUUGUAAGUCAGGUGUGAAAUCCUACAGCUUAACUGUAGAACUGCACUUGAAACUACGAGCCUAGAGUAUGGGAGGGGGAGAUGGAAUUAGUGGUGUAGGGGUAAAAUCCGUAGAGAUCACUAGGAAUACCUAAAGCGAAGGCGAUCUCCUGGAACAUAACUGACGCUAAGGCGUGAAAGCGUGGGGAGCAAACAGGAUUAGAUACCCUUGUAGUC
rnacentral:rRNA from 1 species